AGAAGCAGCAGCGGUGAGCAACAGCAGCAGUAGAAACAGCAGCGGCAAGCUGAAGCCGAGGUGUCACUCAGUCACCUCCAGAACCCACCUGAAUGCACCCCGGUACUCUGAUACUUUGCUGACCACAGAUAAGCUAUAUCACCUUUGGGCCAGGCCAUGCAGAUGAUCUUCUCCACGGAUGAGUCCGCCAGCAGGAAGUAAAUUGGCUGUUCCUGCUUCAGUAGGUGGGAUGUGCUGAAGACACAGACUACCUUGGGGAGUUACCAUGAAAUACCCCCUUGGAACAGAAGCAGCUUCUGUAGCUGAAUAGUCAGCAAGGCCUAAAAAGCUUCCAUAGGCUGGCAGACAUUGAGGAUGACUCCCAGCUGGAUAGGCUCAAUUGUGAAUUAGUCUCACCUGACAGCUGAAACAUGGCUUAGCACAGAUUCUCAGCAGCCUGCUGUAUGCUAUUUCAGCAGGAUGCACUCAGAACAGCACGGCACUGCGCUAUGCACUAUACAUAUGCAUAGUAAGAGAUACUCCCUGCCUCAAAGACCCUACAAUCUAAACAGACAAGACAGACAAUGAAGACAAUGCAUCCGAAGAAAUCCAGACUAACACGGCUACCCCUCUGAUACAAGACAGACAAUGGUACAGAGAUACACCAGGGCAGUGGCUGAGCUGGGAACACCAUGCGGGCCUAUUGAGUCCCAAUCGGACAUUGCUUAAAUGUAACUGAAUGUUAUGUUUUACCCAUUACAUUUGGCAUUCUUACUAACAGCAAGA